GUCUUGUUAGAUCAGUGGCAGAUCGUUUGAUUUACACUCAAAAGGUCGUGAGAUCGAAACUCACACGAGACA